rfam:Pristionchus pacificus strain PS312 contig6458, whole genome shotgun sequence.
UCUUCAUUCCACGUGCUCUCUCACGGGUCAGAGAGGCGAGAGAGCGUGUGAAAUGAAGAGC